CGACACUGGUUGCCUGCUGAUGGUUCAUUUACAUACAGCGACAUCACGUGUCCAGGCCCGUGUCUCCGAGCUGCGUCACUAGCCGGCUUUGAAGCUUCUGGGUGUUUCUGACGAGUCAUUGGUUUGAUGGCACAUCGAUCAUUGUCAGCCCCGCCCACUUACGUACCCAGCAGGUCACCAUUGGUCUCCACUUGUGUCAAGAGAUGCGUGAAAGUUUAGAUCAGUGGCGGACCGGACUAGCAUAGGAAUGGCAGUGGAUCGGUGAGUGACUUGUGGAUGGUUGAGAACUUGAAGGUGGAAUAUGAAGUUCGGUGAACACAGGUGCAGAUUUCAUGACGUUUCAAAAGUCACAGUCCAAGAAUCCGGCUCUGUUCUCACCAUGGAUAGUCAUAGUGCUCCAUCUACUGGCGGGAUCAUGUAGUGCAGCAUUUACAUCCCUGAAUUUCUACCAGUUGACAUCUAUGGGGGGUUACCGUGAUAUGGGUGCUCCAAAAAAAAAAUCCCGGAGGCCAUAGAAAGUGAGGUUAGGAG